rnacentral:rRNA from 1 species
GCGGGUGCUAACGUCCGUCGUGAAGAGGGAAACAACCCAGACCGCCGGCUAAGGUCCCAAAGUUCUGGUUAAGUGGGAAACGAUGUGGGAAGGCUCAGACAGCUAGGAUGUUGGCUUAGAAGCAGCCAUCAUUUAAAGAAAGCGUAAUAGCUCACUAGUCGAGUCGGCCUGCGCGGAAGAUGUAACGGGGCUCAAACCAGGCACCGAAGCCGCGGAUUCACACUUAUGUGUGAGUGGUAGGGGAGCGUUCUGUAAGUCUGCGAAGGUGUAUCGAGAGGUAUGCUGGAGAUAUCAGAAGUGCGAAUGCUGACGUAAGUAACGAUAAAGGGGGUGAAAAGCCUCCUCGCCGGAAGACCAAGGGUUCCUGUCCAACGUUAAUCGGGGCAGGGUGAGUCGACCCCUAAGGUGAGGCCGAAAGGCGUAAUCGAUGGGAAGCAGGUUAAUAUUCCUGCACGACUUGUAAUUGCGAUGGGGGGACGGAGAAGGCUAGGUGGGCCAGGCGACGGUUGUCCUGGUGAAAGUGCGUAGGUGGUGUUUCUAGGCAAAUCCGGAGACACAACACUGAGACACGAGACGAAGCCACUACGGUGGUGAAGCCAUUGAUGCCCUGCUUCCAGGAAAAGCCUCUAAGCUUCAGAUUACAAGUCAUCGUACCCCAAACCGACACAGGUGGUCGGGUAGAGAAUACCAAGGCGCUUGAGAGAACUCGGGUGAAGGAACUAGGCAAAAUAGAACCGUAACUUCGGGAGAAGGUUCGCUCUUGACAGUGAAGUCCCUCGCGGAUGGAGCAGUUGGGAGUCGCAGUGACCAGAUGGCUGGGACUGUUUAUCAAAAACACAGCACUCUGCAAACACGAAAGUGGACGUAUAGGGUGUGACACCUGCCCGGUGCCGGAAGGUUAAUUGAUGGGGUUAGCGCAAGCGAAGCUCUUGAUCGAAGCCCCGGUAAACGGCGGCCGUAACAAUAACGGUCCUAAGGUAGCGAAAUUCCUUGUCGGGUAAGUUCCGACCUGCACGAAUGGCGUAACGAUGGCCACACUGUCUCCUCCAGAGACUCAGCGAAGUUGAAAUGUUUGUGAUGAUGCAAUCUCCCCGCGGAAAGACGGAAAGACCCCAUGAACCUUUACUGUAGCUUUGUAUUGGACUUUGAACAGAUCUGUGUAGGAUAGGUGGGAGGCUUUGAAGCGGUGCCGCUAGGUAUCGUGGAGCCAACGUUGAAAUACCACCCUGGUGUGUUUGAGGUUCUAACCUAGGUCCAUUAUCUGGAUCGGGGACAGUGCAUGGUAGGCAGUUUGACUGGGGCGGUCUCCUCCCAAAGAGUAACGGAGGAGCACGAAGGUUGGCUAAUCCUGGUCGGACAUCAGGAGGUUAGUGCAAUGGCAUAAGCCAGCUUAACUGCGAGACGGACAGGUCGAGCAGGUACGAAAGUAGGUCAUAGUGAUCCGGUGGUUCUGAAUGGAAGGGCCAUCGCUCAACGGAUAAAAGGUACUCCGGGGAUAACAGGCUGAUACCGCCCAAGAGUUCAUAUCGACGGCGGUGUUUGGCACCUCGAUGUCGGCUCAUCACAUCCUGGGGCUGAAGUCGGUCCCAAGGGUAUGGCUGUUCGCCAUUUAAAGUGGUACGCGAGCUGGGUUCAGAACGUCGUGAGACAGUUCGGUCCCUAUCUGCCGUGGGCGUUGGAUGAUUGAAGGGAGUUGCUCCUAGUACGAGAGGACCGGAGUGAACGAACCUCUGGUGUUCGGGUUGUCACGCCAGUGGCACUGCCCGGUAGCUAAGUUCGGAAUCGAUAACCGCUGAAAGCAUCUAAGCGGGAAGCGAGCCCUGAGAUGAGUCAUCCCUGACCCCUUGA